rnacentral:rRNA from 1 species
UACGUAGGGUGCAGGCGUUAAUCGGAAUUACUGGGCGUAAAGCGUGCGCAGGCGGUCUAUUAAGACAGGUGUGAAAUCCCCGGGCUUAACCUGGGAACUGCGCUUGUAACUGAUAGGCUGGAGUGUGGCAGGAGGGGGGUGGAAUUCCACGGUGUAGCAGUGAAAUGCGUAGAGAUGUGGAGGAACACCGAUGGCGAAGGCAGCCCCCUGGGUCGACACUGACGCUCAGGCACGAAAGCGUGGGGAGCAAACAGG